AAGAAAAAAAAAAAGAUCAAUGGAAGAAUGAACCCGUUGAAAGCGCCGCUGCCGAAGUUUGCUGUCGGCGGUUUGCGAACGGCGAAGAGUGCACUGCCGAGGGUAUGCGAUGGCGAAGAGUGCGUUGCCGCUGCGGGGAUGUGCCCCUGUACGACGUGUACGUGUGGUUGUGUGCGAGAGAGAAAAAGAGAGAGAGGCGGAGAGAGAGGCGGAGAGAGAGGCGGCCGUCCCUGUGUGAAGUGUGAAAAAAGUGAAAAAAUAGGAGAAAUAGGGUUAGGAAUAGAAAGGGUUAAAAGUUGAUGCGAUUUUAUCCAUUGGAUUUUGAUCCAAUGGUUG
rnacentral:lncRNA from 1 species